GAUGAACGCUGGCGGCGUGCCUAAUACAUGCAAGUCGAGCGAACAGACGAGGAGCUUGCUCCUCUGACGUUAGCGGCGGACGGGUGAGUAACACGUGGAUAACCUACCUAUAAGACUGGGAUAACUUCGGGAAACCGGAGCUAAUACCGGAUAAUAUAUUGAGCCGCAUGGUUCAAUAGUGAAAGACGGUUUUGCUGUCACUUAUAGAUGGAUCCGCGCCGCAUUAGCUAGUUGGUAAGGUAACGGCUUACCAAGGCGACGAUGCGUAGCCGACCUGAGAGGGGAAUCGGCCACACUGGAACUGAGACACGGUCCAGACUCCUACGGGAGGCAGCAGUAGGGAAUCUUCCGCAAUGGGCGAAAGCCUGACGGAGCAACGCCGCGUGAGUGAUGAAGGUCUUCGGAUCGUAAAACUCUGUUAUUAGGGAAGAACAAAUGUGUAAGUAACUAUGCACGUCUUGACGGUACCUAAUCAGAAAGCCACGGCUAACUACGUG
rnacentral:rRNA from 1 species